rnacentral:rRNA from 1 species
CGGAAGUGCCGACCCGCACGAAAGGCGUAACGAUUGGUGCGCCGUCUCAGCUGUAGACUCGGUGAAGUCUUAGUACCUGUGAAGAUGCAGGUUGCCCGCGACUAGACGGAAAGACCCCAUGGAGCUUCACUGCAGGUUGACAUUGGGCUUGGAUGCAUGAUGUACAGGAUAGGUGGGAGGCUGUGAGCCGUGCGCGCCAGCGUACGGGGAGCCGCUGUUGGGAUACCACCCUUCAUGCAUCUAGGUCCUAACCGGA